GAUGUCGCGCUCGGCAGCGACCAGGCGGGACGAUAUGUCCUUGUUGUCAACAAGGAAAAUGUCGUCGAGCAGCGCAAGGUUCAGACCGGGCCUCUCGAGGGCGAAUUGCGCGUGAUCGAGAGCGGCCUGAAGGCCGAUGAUCCUGUCGUUAUUGCCGGCCUGCUUCGCGCAAUCCCCGGUCAGAAGGUCNNNNNNNNNNAGCUACAAAAGAUAGAUCAGCCUCGCGCUUCGGCGAACUAGGGACCGAGGACGGCCAUGAU
rnacentral:misc_RNA from 1 species